UUGCUGGCUAAUUGUUUGAUUGAUUAAUGCCUUGGUGAAGUCGGGCUUUUUCAAGGCAGUCUAAUGUCACUUGGAUUUGUUGCAGCCAGUUGGUUAACAGUGUGGUGAGCUGUUGUAUGAAGACCAUGUGCUGUUGUGAUGAGCUUCUGCAUGCAGCCUGUAGUGCUGGGGGAAGUGCUGUAUGCUGUCUUUAGAGUGUGGUGCUAGCUUUAAAUUUGGAGAAUUAACUACUUAACUAUUAGUUUUGAGUCAUUCAUUUUUUAAUUGUUUUCAAAGUCAGUUUGAGUUUAUUUCAGUGUCUAUUUGGUGUGCAGUUCAUGUUCGGGUGGUUUUGUUGCAACCAGAUGUUGAUAGAGAGUUCAAGGCAAGUUGAGCUGCAGGUUCUGUAAGCAAUCUUCAUUGCUGGUGCCAUCCUAGAGUUAGAUAGCAACGUAGUCAUCUGGAAAUGGAUCGUGUAAAUGUUCAGCGGUUUCGUAAUCUGAUUCUAGUCAAGAUUUUAUCCUGAAUUGAGCUGAAGUCCCUGCAGUAACUGUUUCUGGUGUUAUCCUGAUGUUGCUGUGCCGGUGAAAUACCAGUUGAUAAAAAUUUGAUCUGUAUGUGUUUCAUCCUAAGUAUAUCGAAGAUUAACGUUUGUGAUUGAAUUCUCUAUUAUGACAAAAGUAUCAACUGUAGUCAUCCUAGAUGACGAAAUUACCUCAACCCUUAUUAUUGCAAUUUUUUAUUAUCCUUGUAAAUUUACAAAAAUCUAAUGUUACAAUAAAAAAAAAUUAAGCUUUUAAA
rnacentral:lncRNA from 1 species